GGACGAACGCUGGCGGCGUGCCUAACACAUGCAAGUCGAACGGAGUCAAGAAGCUUGCUUUUGACUUAGUGGCGGACGGGUGAGUAACGCGUGAGUAACCUGCCUCUGAGAGGGGAAUAACGUUCUGAAAAGAACGCUAAUACCGCAUAACGUAUUGAAGCCGCAUGACUUUGAUACCAAAGAUUUUAUCGCUCGGAGAUGGACUCGCGUCCGAUUAGUUAGUUGGUGAGGUAACGGCUCACCAAGACCGCGAUCGGUAGCCGGACUGAGAGGUUGAUCGGCCACAUUGGGACUGAGACACGGCCCAGACUCCUACGGGAGGCAGCAGUGGGGGAUAUUGCGCAAUGGGGGCAACCCUGAACCGCAGCAACGCCGCGUGAAGGAUGAAGGUUUUCGGAUUGUAAACUUCUUUUAUCAGGGACGAAAUCUGACGGUACCUGAUGAAUAAGCUCCGGCUAACUACGUGCCAGCAGCCGC
rnacentral:rRNA from 1 species